rnacentral:rRNA from 1 species
UGAACGCUGGCGGCGUGCCUCAUACAUGCAAGUCGAGCGAACAGACGCGGAGCUUGCUCCUCUGACGUUAGCGGCGGACGGGUGAGUAACACGUGGAUAACCUACCUAUAAGACUGGGAUAACUUCGGGAAACCGGAGCUAAUACCGGAUAAUAUAUUGAACCGCAUGGUUCAAUAGUGAAAGACGGUUUUGCUGUCACUUAUAGAUGGAUCCGCGCCGCAUUAGCUAGUUGGUAAGGUAACGGCUUACCAAGGCAACGAUGCGUAGCCGACCUGAGAGGGUGAUCGGCCACACUGGAACUGAGACACGGUCCAGACUCCUACGUGAGGCAGCAGUAGGGAAUCUUCCGCAAUGGGCGAAAGCUUGACGGAGCAACGCCGCGUGAGUGAUGAAGGUCUUCGGAUCGUAAAACUCUGUUAUUAGGGAAGAACAAAUGUGUAAGUAACUAUGCACGUCUUGACGGUACCUAAUCAGAAAGCCACGGCUAACUACGUG